rnacentral:rRNA from 1 species
AACGAACGCUGGCGGCAGGCCUAACACAUGCAAGUCGAACGCCCGUAGCAAUACGGGAGUGGCAGACGGGUGAGUAACGCGUGGGAAUCUACCCAGUUCUUCGGAAUAACUGAGGGAAACUUCAGCUAAUACCGGAUACGCCCCAAGGGGGAAAGAUUUAUCGGAAUUGGAGGAGCCCGCGUUGGAUUAGCUAGUUGGUGGGGUAAUGGCCUACCAAGGCGACGAUCCAUAGCUGGUCUGAGAGGAUGAUCAGCCACACUGGGACUGAGACACGGCCCAGACUCCUACGGGAGGCAGCAGUGGGGAAUAUUGGACAAUGGGCGAAAGCCUGAUCCAGCCAUGCCGCGUGAGUGAUGAAGGCCUUCGGGUUGUAAAGCUCUUUUAGCGGGGAAGAUAAUGACGGUACCCGCAGAAAAAGCCCCGGCUAACUUCGUGCCAGCCGCCGCAGUAAGAC